GACGUAGGGUCCAAGCGUUAUCCGGAUUUACUGGGCGUAAAGAGCGCGUAGGCGGUCCGUUAAGUGAGAAGUGAAAUCUUCAGGGCUCAACCCGAAAAUGGCUUUUCAUACUGGCGGACUUGAGGGAUGCAGAGGUAUGUGGAAUUCCUGGUGUAGCGGUGAAAUGCGUUGAUAUCAGGAGGAACACCCAUGGCGAAGGCAGCAUACUGGGCAUCAUCUGACGCUGAGGCGCGAAAGCGUGGGUAGCAAACAGG
rnacentral:rRNA from 1 species